CUCUAAUAGAUUUAAUUAUUAGUAUCUCCUGCUCAAUGAACCUUUAAAUUGCCGCAAUCUAUGUGCUAAGGUAGCAUAAUCAUUUGCCUUAUAAUUGAAGGCUAGAAUGAAUGGAUUUACAUGUGAAUUUCUUUAUUAUCAGUUUACCUUGAAAUUAUUCUACAAGUAAAAAAACUUGUAUCUUUAGGAGGACGACAAGACCCUGACGAACUUCACUUAAGUUGCACUGGGGAGGUGACAAAACUAUUUCUUUUAUUUGAAUUAAAAUAAAAUUAUCUUUAAGAAAUUUUUAUAAGCUACCGCAGGGAUAACAGCAUAAUUUUUCUCUAAAGACCUUAUUAAAAGAUAAGAUUAUGACCUCGAUGUUGAAUAAAAAUUCCCUUAGGAGCAAGAUCCUAAAUAGAAAGUCUGUUCGACUUUUUAACUUUUACA
rnacentral:rRNA from 1 species